rnacentral:rRNA from 1 species
GAGGGGCAGCGAGUAGAUUGCUUGCAAUCUACGUCGGCGACCGGCGCACGGGUGCGUAACGCGUAUGCAACCUACCCAUUACAGGGGGAUAACACUGAGAAAUCGGUACUAAUACCCCAUAACAUCCAGGGAGGCAUCUUCUUGGGUUGAAAACUCCGGUGGUAAUGGAUGGGCAUGCGUUGUAUUAGUUAGUUGGUGGGGUAACGGCUCACCAAGACAACGAUACAUAGGGGGACUGAGAGGUUAACCCCCCACAUUGGUACUGAGACACGGACCAAACUCCUACGGGAGGCAGCAGUGAGGAAUAUUGGUCAAUGGACGCAAGUCUGAACCAGCCAUGCCGCGUGCAGGAAGACGGCUCUAUGACUUGUAAACUGCUUUUGUACGAGGGUAAACGCAGAUCAC